GCGUCAAUCGGUGUUACUCCUGGGGCAGUCAAGGAGGAUGUUAUUGCGACUCAGCGUGCACACAUUUCGGUGACUGUUGUUCAGACUUCACUGCUGUCUGCACACGCGCACCUGGUACCGAUAUCCCUGGUAAUGCUUCGUGUCAGUUCCGAUGUUACACAUGGGGCAGUCAAGGAGGUUGCUAUUGUGAUUCCUCGUGCCCGUAUUUUGGCGACUGCUGUCCCGACUACAAUAUCUAUUGCGUUCAUUCAACACCAGAUGACUCUGGCGAAGCAACCUGCGUCAAUCGAUGUUACUCCUCGGGCAGUCAAGGAGGAUGCUUUUGCGACUCGGCGUGUACGUAUUUCAAUGACUGUUGUGCGGACUUCAAUUCUGUUUGCACACGCCAACCUGCAACUGAUAACCC